rnacentral:misc_RNA from 1 species
GCUCUUAUCUGUUACAGUGAAAUUCCCGUAGAACCAAACAUUGAAGUCCAGUCUUUAGACAGGAACCAAGAAAUACGUUCGAAGCCACCAAAGUUACUCAUCACCGCAUCUCCUGAGUCUACCAGUAACUCAGCAGAUCAAGUUAGAAGGGUCAGGAACCCAGUCCAGUUCCACAAUUAUAUCCAACAUGUUGACAGUGACCCGGCUGUGUGUGCUGCCAUCAGUCGUUAUAAAUAUUACAAAUACCUGGAGAAGAUCAAUGCUAACCAAUCAGAUGAACCAACCAGUCCAUUGAUCUUUACAAUGCCGGAUCAUGUCGUGCCCCCGCAGUUCAUCACAAUCGUCUCCAUCUCGAACAAGAUUGAAUCCAAACAAGGAAGCCUAGUCACCAUAUUCUCCCUGUGGAACACUAUGAUGGGGACCUCCAUACUCAGCAUUCCAUGGGCCCUUAAAAUGGCUGGUUUUGCCAAUGGUGUUGCCCUCCUGAUCCUCAUGGCUGCCCUCAUGUGUUACUCUGCUUACCGGAUCAUCAGCAUUACACACGGCAUGGAAGCAAAAUUAUCUUUGUCAGAAGGUUUACCUUUGGCUAACUAUGGAUACCUGGACUUCUCUGACGUCUGCCAACACUACCUGGGGAAGUUCGGCCUCUACACUGCUAUCACCUGUUCCCUGAUGUCCCUUGUCGGAGGCAUGAUCGUCUAUUGGAUAUUGAUGAGUAAUUUUCUAUACAACACCGUGUCUUUUUUUGCAAAAACUUCAACAGGCAACGAUUCAGUCCUCUGCCCCACCAGCGACAACACCAACACCAGCAACAUCACCGACCAGCUGUCCGUCAACUUCGAAAGUCUAUAUACACUCGCUAACCCAGACAUCAAUGUCAGACUCUACAACAAAGUAUGGGACCUCACCUCAACGGUUCCGGUCUUCUUGCUUCUUCUUCUCUUUCCUCUGCUCAACUUCAAGUCGCCGACCUUCUUUACCAAAUUCAAUUCCUUAGCUACCAUCUCUGUGACAUACUUAAUGAUAUUCACAGUGGUGAAGGCCACCAAGUGGGGUGUCAAUAUUGAAUUUAAGGACAAAUUUUCUGAACAUUACUCACCAAAUAUCUCCUCAAACCUUGCGGCCCUCACGGGUAUUGCAGCUCUCGCAUAUUUCAUUCACAACUGUGUCCUCUCCAUCUUGAGAUCUCACAAGAAACCAGAAAAUGGGGUACGAGAUCUCACCAUCGCAUUCUUCCUCGUCUGUUUCACGUACAUCUUUAUCGGAGUUGGACUCUACAUUUCAUUUCCACUUCAAAAAUCCUGCAUCCAAGAUAAUAUACUAAACAAUCUUCCGUUAGACGAUAGCCUGGCAUUUGCAGCCCGAGCCUGUAUGUUGCUCCAGAUGGUCGCAGUCUUCCCGUUGCUAAUCUAUGUGUUUCGAGUUCAGUUCUUCCAUGUGGUCUCUGGAAAUAUUUACCCUGGGGUACUCAAAGUGGUCCUUAUGAAUCUACUCAUGUGUGCAAUCAGCAUCCUGUUUGCGUGUUUCCUGCCUAAAAUUGGGAAAGUCAUCGGGUUUGUCGGAGCCUUCUGCGGUUUCUCCUACGCCCUUGGCUUGCCUUUCCUCAUCCAUCUUAUUUCCCUUUAUGAGAAACAUCAACUUACCUGGCACUCGUUCUUCAUCCACACGUUCUUCAUUUUGCUCGGAUUUGCAAAUUUCAUUGCACAGUUUUUUAUCUCCGGACACUGAAGAGGGCAACAAAGAGCAACAACCUCGCCUUCUCUUCUUUCUACCUUCUUUGAGUAUAGUGCGUGCGUGUGGGUGUGUUUUAAAUACAUA